rnacentral:rRNA from 1 species
AUUGAACGCUGGCGGCAGGCCUAACACAUGCAAGUCGAGCGGAUGAUGAGAGCUUGCUCUCUGAUUCAGCGGCGGACGGGUGAGUAAUGCCUAGGAAUCUGCCUGGUAGUGGGGGACAACGUUUCGAAAGGAACGCUAAUACCGCAUACGUCCUACGGGAGAAAGCAGGGGACCUUCGGGCCUUGCGCUAUCAGAUGAGUCUAGGUCGGAUUAGCUAGUAGGUGAGGUAAUGGCUCACCUAGGCGACGAUCCGUAACUGGUCUGAGAGGAUGAUCAGUCACACUGGAACUGAGACACGGUCCAGACUCCUACGGGAGGCAGCAGUGGGGAAUAUUGGACAAUGGGCGAAAACCUGAUCCAGCCAUGCCGCGUGUGUGAAGAAGGUCUUCGGAUUGUAAAGCACUUUAAGUUGGGAGGAAGGGCAGUAAGUUAAUACCUUGCUGUUUUGACGUUACCAACAGAAUAAGCACCGGCUAACUUCGUGCCAGCAGCCGACGG